rnacentral:lncRNA from 9 species
GGCCUCAGAAAAGGGGAGCCCAUGUUUAGUCUCCUUGUGCAGUUGACCAGAGUCUGCUGAUUCCCGUGCCUGAAAGAUGAGGAAGCACAGUGUCAGGAUCAUUACCUCCCCAGAAGACACUCAGAAUUUAAGGGGUGAGCUGGACUGGGCAUUCAGAUCCGCAGGGAGCAUCUGAGCACAGAAGCGCCUCCGGGACACUUAAAGCCCAGGAUGGCUGGCUGCCUGGUUUGGAGAGAAACACCCUCUUGCUUUUCUGUGUUGCCCAGUUCGUGUGCCCAGCCUCACGCCAGGGCUCUGCUUUGGACCCAUUCAGAGUGGGGCCUGGGCAUCAGGCAGCAAGAUCACUGCUUCUGGCUCAUAUCCCCUGUGUCUCCUCUGGCCAUGGGAACACCUGGCAUCUUCUUGUGCCAGGUUCCGUGCUGGGUGGAGCAGGACAGCAGCCAGUCUGGAGCCUGGACCCUCCCAACGUCUGGAGUCAGGAGACCAUCCUCAGCAAGACUUGUAUCUUGCAGAGAUCCAACUCCACAGCAGGUUAAUAAAAAGGGGUAACCUACUGAAGACUUUGGGGGGCCCAGGAGAGAUGCCAGGCAGCAUUCAGCAGAAGCGUCACAGUUCUUCAGGAACCACAGCCCUUCUCUCCCAUCAGCAGCCUCUUCUGUUCUGUCCUCUGCUUCAGCACAGCCUCUAAAGACAUUCUGAGGUGUCCUGUGCAACUCGGCCCUGACAUGGUAACUGUAUAAUUUAUAUUUCAAACUGGGGUUCUCUGAAGUUGAAAAGAGGGCUAUUAACACAUCAGGUCCAAACCCAGCAAACCACUAGCUCUGCCUUAUGCACCCCUCUUGGUGCAGAACAAGCCUGUGGUUUGCUAAAGAGGUUUGCUAUUUCCUCCAUUCUCCUUAGAGACAGGAACAGAUUUCUCUCUGUGGGUCAAUUUGGCUGCUAAGAAAAUAUUUAC